rnacentral:rRNA from 1 species
GCAGUCAGAGGCGAUGAAGGGCGUGCUAAUCUGCGAUAAGCGCCGGUAAGGUGAUAUGAACCGUUAUAACCGGCGAUACCCGAAUGGGGAAACCCAGUGUGAUUCGUCACACUAUCAUUAACUGAAUCCAUAGGUUAAUGAGGCGAACCGGGGGAACUGAAACAUCUAAGUACCCCGAGGAAAAGAAAUCAACCGAGAUUCCCCCAGUAGCGGCGAGCGAACGGGGAGGAGCCCAGAGCCUGAAUCAGCAUGUGUGUUAGUGGAAGCGUCUGGAAAGGCGCGCGAUACAGGGUGACAGCCCCGUACACAAAAGCGCAUGUGCUGUGAGCUCGAUGAGUAGGGCGGGACACGUGGUAUCCUGUCUGAAUAUGGGGGGACCAUCCUCCAAGGCUAAAUACUCCUGACUGACCGAUAGUGAACCAGUACCGUGAGGGAAAGGCGAAAAGAACCCCGGCGAGGGGAGUGAAAAAGAACCUGAAACCGUGUACGUACAAGCAGUGGGAGCACAGGUUUACCUGUGUGACUGCGUACCUUUUGUAUAAUGGGUCAGCGACUUAUAUUCUGUAGCAAGGUUAACCGAAUAGGGGAGCCGGAGGGAAACCGAGUCUUAAU